CCGCCACCGCGGCCGGCCGGACCCAGGAGGAGGCGGCAAGGGGCUGCAGCUCGGACCCCGGCAGCCCGCCCGGCGCCCGCCUCUUCCCUGCGCACCUCGACCUCCCGGCCCGCAGGGUCCGGGCCCAGCGCAGACAUCGGUGUCGGCGUGGACAGCGAGCGGGGCUUUGCUCCGCGGGGCUUUCCGUUGCUCGCGGCUGGAACUUCGGACUGGUCAUACCAAAUUGCCUCCCACCAAGGAAGGAAGGAGGGGCCUAGUGUCCUCCGUCCCUGAUGCCUGAUUUUGCAGAUCUGGUAGGGGUAAAAUUGUAUUUCAUUGUAGCUUACUUGUGUUUCCUAGAAGUGAAAUGAAACAUAUCAAUAGUUUUGUCAGAUUUAUUUAUUUAUGUAUUUAUUUUAAGAUUUUAUUUAUUUAUUUGACAGAGACACAGCGAGAGAGAGAACACAAGCAGGGGGAGUGGGAGAGGGAGAAGCAGGCUUCCCCGUUGUCUCCACUUACAAGGGAAAUGGCUCAGGCCAAUUUGCUCCCAGAGAAGUCCUGGGACCCCGGUGGGGCUUAUGCCCUGGGCUCCCUUGGUGCUCAGAUAGCCUCUGGACACGGGUGCGCCCCGGCCGGACAGCGAACUCCAUGCUGCCAGACCCCAGUGCCUGAGCCUAAGGCAGACGGCUAACGACUGAGCCACCCAGGCGCCCCUGUCAGAUUUAUUUUUGUUAUUUUUACCACUCAUACAAUCAUUUCAAAAUGGGAAAGUCUGUAUUUAUUAUAAACAUGUACGUAUUUAAAAGCCAUUUGUAUUUCAUAUUCUUCAACUGUUUUCCAUUGGGUUGUUGGUGUUAUUGUUUACUAGGAGCACUUUACGUAUUAAGGAAAUUAGCCCAUUUCCUGUUAAAAUCGUUUUUCCCCCAGUCUAUAAUUUGUUUUUUGACUUGGACUGUGUUUUUUUUUUCCUUCGAUUUCUAAAAAAAUUCAUAUUAUUUUUGCUAAGCAUUUAAAAUCAUUAUUAGUCAUUAUUAGCUUUUUUCAUUUAUGGCUUCUGCAUUUUGUGUCAUGCUCAGAAAUAUUUACUCCAAGAUUAUAAAACAUUUGAUGUGUUUUUCUUGAAAUGUAAUGGUUUCUUUUUUAAAUAUAUAUUUAAAUUUUUGGUCUAAUUUUGGAAAGUGCUUUUGGGAAGGAGUGUGGUGGGAACCCAAACUGCUUUUCCAAAUAGGUUACCCCGACUCCAUUUCCCACGGAAGCCACUCUUGCCCCUACUGACCGGGCUGUCUUUAUCACAUGCUGGGCUCUUGAGUGCGUGGGUCUGUUUUCAGACUCUGCAUUGUCUAGGCUCACCUGGACUCCAUUGUCUUCUUUGCUGAAUGUGCCAAGACCCCGCCUCCCCUUGUUAAAGUGGGGAAAAUUGUCCCCCCAGAAUCCACAGCUGAGGACCCGAACAUAUUGUGUGUCAUAGUAGUUCUGCAUGACAUGCUGUGACAGAAAGGAUUCUGAAAGCUUCACUGUGUGUCCCCUCCCCUGCCCUUGGAUAGUCACAGUGUUGAGACUGAGUGCUGGUUGUUCCGUAGCGCCUGCCCAUUGCACGUAAGGGAUAAACUGAGGCAGGCCGUUGUGCACUGUGGGCUCCUCAGGCUGACCUGGCCCACAGGCUCUGUGCCUGAGGGGUCACCUCUUUCUGGGUGGAGUGCCCCUGAAGGGCUCACCGUCAGCCUCUGGGGUGGGGGUCAGACCAUGCACAGCAGUGAUGGGGGGAAGCCAGUGGUACAUUCCAGGAUGCGCCCCCCCCUUCCUUUCUGCUUGGUAUGGCCCAUGGGCUAGGCUGCCUGGGAGAAGGGCCAACUUUCGGUUCUCCAUUUUGUGGAUUUUCCACAACACAUGUGUUCACACCCGGCAGCAGCAUUCUCCUGCUGCUCAGCAGACCCCCGAGCAUGUGCACCCUGGGCAGGGCGCCCUCGGCUCCCCGUGACACCUGACCUGGCACAGCUUAAGCCCCCCGGGUCCCAUGGUCUGUGUGUGCCCUGGUACCCAGAGAGCCCUGGGGACACAGCCGGGCACAAGCUCCUCUCUGGGGGUCAGGCCUGGGACCUGGUGUGGAUGCUGCUCACCCCGGGGCCGUGGAGCCCAGACAGGACUUCACGUGGGGUCCCCAGCACCCGAGGGCCAGACCGUCCACCCUCCUCUCCUUCCCUCUGCGGACUCUGCUUCCCCGCAUCGUCCCCAAUAGACGGAGCUGGUGGGACCCAC